ensembl:lncRNA
GUUCAGGCCAUUAAGUUUAUUUAGAAAGCAAUUUCAGAACUGUUAGAACAAAAUUGGGAAAAUAUACUGACAAAAGUUUAAGAAUGUAAGCCCUGAAAGACAGAUUAAGUCACUAAAAAAACAACCUCUUCAGGCCUUUAUAUUGGCUAAGGUUGUUGUCUUCCACAGCAGCCCUGGCAUGGCAUCCAGUUCUAGAUACUGUGGUUUAAAUGAAUGUAAAUUGAAUACAGUUGAAAUGUCUUCCAUAUGAUUCUGCACAUCCUUGCAGCCUAGGAGAAAGCCAGCAAGGAGGGGACCAAAGGGAGGCAGGAGCAGGAGCAGUGGAAGGUGGUAAGAGGAUGUGAGGUGAUGGCAGACCCCAAGUGAGAGGUACCCCCACGCAGACUGGAGCAAUUACUGGUGCUAUGUGUAGGCAUCUCCCAACAGGCCUGGGUUGAGGAGAUUGUCCAGCACAGUGCAUUCGAGCAAGUGCCAGGAGCCACAGUCCUGUUUCCCGAUGGAGCUGUGGUCUGCUCACUACAUCAGCUCCUUGUACUGAGAACUAUGGUGGCCAUGUCACAACAGACAGCAAAUCAGUAGUGGCCACAUCACAGUGGGGUCUCUGACAUGGAUGGGACAGUAUAAAAAGGGCUGUGGUCUAGAGCAGGACCUGGUUUGGGAGGCAACCCAAAACAUACGUUGGUCUUUUCCCUCCUCAGUGUCUUGCUGGAGAUUUUGAAAACCUUACAUGAAACAGCAUUGAAUCAAGGAAAAAGAAAGGUGUAUGGUACCUGCCUGCAGACUGCAAAAGCCUUACAGAGUCCAAAAUUAGCAGUUCUAUGUGUAGUUGAGAGACAUUCUGUAAUCAGAAGAGCAAAAGACUACAGAGUAAAAAACUAAAGCCGGAUGAUAAAUCAUGCAAUCUUUAUAGAUGGCAUGCAGCACAAGUUUCAGUGGAGAAAAACAUAUGCAUGGCCAACCAUCC